rnacentral:rRNA from 1 species
CGUGGAUAAUCUGCCCUUGAAUUCGGGAUAACCUUCCGAAAGGUUGGCUAAUACCGGGUAAGCUCACGGUGACUUCGGUCGCUGUGGGAAAAGUAGACCUCUGUUUACAAGUUUACGUUUGAGGAUGAGUCCGCGGCCCAUCAGCUAGUUGGCGGGGUAAUGGCCCACCAAGGCUACGACGGGUAGCUGGUCUGAGAGGACGAUCAGCCACACUGGAACUGAGACACGGUCCAGACUCCUACGGGAGGCAGCAGUGGGGAAUUUUCCACAAUGGGCGAAAGCCUGAUGGAGCAACGCCGCGUGUGUGAUGAAGGUCUUCGGAUCGUAAAGCACUUUCGACCGGGACGAAAAACCUCUGGCUAACAUCCAGGGGCCUGACGGUACCGGGAGAAGAAGCACCGGCUAACUCUGUGCCAGCAGCCGCGGUAAUACAGAGGGUGCAAGCGUUGUUCGGAAUUAUUGGGCGUAAAGCGCGUGUAGGCGGCUUGGCAAGUCAGAUGUGAAAGCCCAUGGCUUAACCAUGGAAGUGCGUCUGAAACUGCUGAGCUUGAGUGCCGGAGAGGAUGGCGGAAUUCCGCAAGUAGAGGUGAAAUUCGUAGAUAUGCGGAGGAACACCGGUGGCGAAGGCGGCCAUCUGGACGGCAACUGACGCUGAGACGCGAAAGCGUGGGGAGCAAACAGGAUUAGAUACCCUGGUAGUCCACGCUGUAAACGAUGAGAACUAGGUGUCGUGGGUGUUGACCCCCGC